AGAGGUACUUCAGGGGUAGGGGUGAAAUCUGUAAAUCCUGAAGGGACCACCAGUGGCGAAGGCGUCUCACCAGAACGGACCUGACGGCAAGGGACGAAAGCUAGGGGCACGAACCGGAUUAGAUACCCGGGUAGUCCUAGCCGUAAACGAUACUCGCUAGGUGUCGGCCACGGUGCGACCGUUGUCGGUGCCGUAGGGAAGCCGUGAAGCGAGCCACCUGGGAAGUACGGCCGCAAGGCUGAAACUUAAAGGAAUUGGCGGGGGAGCACCACAACGGGUGGAGCUUGCGGUUUAAUUGGAUUCAACGCCGGG
rnacentral:rRNA from 1 species